AUGACGGUGAUGGACAUUGUUCGUUUGUGUUUUUCAGGGACAGAGUACGAGCCAUCCUAUUUCAAAGUGGGAGAAGGCAACAAUACGGCGUGCCUGGCAACUGGGUUCAGCAGACACAAUGCAACAUCAUAUCAUUGGAAUUAUAGCGUGGAAUUCAGUGAGACAAAAGCUGUGGCAAUAUCACCAAACUUGGAUCUGUACAACCAGGUGAUUUUUCCAGGGAAGGAUCCAAGGAUUUGUGAAUAUCCAGGCAGUGGUGACAAGAAAUGUGUUGAUGUUUUGGAGCCAGAUCCAAAGGUGAACCUCAUGUCUCUGACCAUCCUGGCUCUCAGAGUGAUCUUCAUCAAGACCAUCAUCUUUAACAUCAUAAUGACUCUGCGGCUGUGGAUUAGUCAGUGUGAGUACAAAACAAAUGUAACGUGUUUGUGGCCUGGUGACUGGGGAGAUGUUUGACUGUUAUCUCCAUCACACACAGAGAGACAAACAUGUUCAAUGAGAAGAAAAAGUUUUAGUACACAGACCACUGACAGUUAAUAUGGAGCCUGCAUUUGGGAAACUUUUACCUGCAUUUGCCAAUUUUCCACAUUUGAGGACUGCAGAAUAACCCAGGAUCAGUCAAGCUGUGAUAUAAACUUAGAGCAUGUUAGAAAUGGAAAUCUGCUUUAUGUCCAUUGUGAGUUGUUGGAUAAUCAAAGCUCUGGAUCAGAGUUCAUAGUCCACAUCCUGUCACGUUGAGGCAAUAAAAUCAUUUUGGUAACGGUUUGGACUUCUUAAGCAAAAAAUAAUAAUUUCCAAUAUUUAAACAUGAAAAUUUGAUUAAAUAAAUUUGAUUAAAUAUUUUUAACUGACCAAAUCAAAUCCUAAAAAAUGAUAAAUACGGUCCAUGGAGCUGUGUUACCUCAGUGGAAAUGAUACAAGACGACACACGAAGAUCCAGUUUAUACAUCGACCUCGAGAUAGAAAAGUUGUUUUUUCCCUGAUCGUCUAAUCCAGGGAUGUGGAUAAAACCAAGGUGAAUGUCAAACUUCCUAAACUCUGUCUCAUGAACGUUGGGUGAUCUUAUAAAAUCUUUUGUUUUGCCUUUGAGAUUAUCAGAGUUAAAAAUUCCCUGUGGGAAGCAGCAGAGGUUAUUACAGUCCUCACCUGUGACUCGCGUGGUUCAGUAACAGUGUAUGGGUUUCUCUUUGAUACUCUUUAAAGCUCUGUCUGUAUGAAAAGCUGUUCUUUUAUUUCUUCUACAUACAAAACAGAAACUGUUACAUUUGAAAAUGAUUCUGUUGGUGUUGGUUCCUGAAAACUCUGUCACAGGACCAGGUUAAAGAAAGGAGAGCUACCUGACGUCUUAAUCAACAGUUACAUUUUAUUUUAAAACAGCAGGAAUAUUUUUGGUCAGUUUUCAUAUUUAGAUAAUAUGUAAAUGUGUCAUUUUUCUUGUAUCGACUUUGUCUCCUGGAUAGAAAAGAAACCGUGACAAUAACAAACGUCAGGUUUCAAACCAGCAGCAUGUGACGUUUGUUUUUACUGUUUGUAUUAAAGCAGCUUCAGUUCACAUGAAUCAAAUUUUUUUUUAUGUUUUGUC